UGAACUUAUGAGUUUUUGGACAGUUUCUGCUUCAAUUUGUUUGCAAGAUGUCAGAAUAGCUUCCCAGAGCUGCUGUUUGGAUGUAAACUGCCUCCCACCCUCAUAGAUCUUUUGCUUGAGGAUGCUCGAAAGGUUCUCAAUAGGAUUGAGGUCAGGGGAGGAUGGAGGCCACACCAUGACUUUCUCUCCUUUUAUCCCCAUAGCAGCCAUUUAUGCAGAGGUAUUAUUUGCAGCAUGAGAUGGUGCAUUGUCAUGCAUGAAGAUGAUUUUAUUACGAAAGCAUAGUUCUUCCUUCUGUACCAGGCAAGAAAGUGAUCAGUCAGAAACUCCACAUACUUUUCAGUGGUCAUCUUUACACCUUCAGGGACCGUAAAGGGGCCGACCAGCUCUCUUCCCAUGAAUCCGGCCCAAAACACGACUCCACCACCGCCUUGCUGACGUCGCAGCCUUGUUGGAACAGGGUGGCCGUGCAC